rnacentral:lncRNA from 15 species
UUCCAUGCAAGCUUUAGUUCAGUGUGUUCAGAUAGCCAGUGAGCGAGGUCUGCCAACCACUCAGGGUUGCUCAGUUCAACAACACUGUUUUUUCUUCUUUUAAAAAAACAGUCUCAGAAACACUCCAGAAAUGUCAGUCGACUGAGAUUAGAUUACGUACUCUUAUUGUACAUCAGUUUCUGACAGGAAAGCCUGACAGGAAGCCUGGCUACCAGUAGUUAAAGCUGCAUUAGGUAACUUUUAUAAGCUAUACUACACUAUAUCCUGACAGUAGAACAUGAGACAGAUAAUCUGUGAAACAGUCUGGUUCCUCUGGCUCCUAAUGGCAUUUGCAAGAAUCCAUCGGGCCUGAACAAAAACAACCAAUCAGAGCUCAGAAAGAUAAAUAGUUGUUGAGUUCCCAGGUCGUCAAAUACAGAUGCAGGAUAUAGUGAAAGUUUCAGCAAAUAUGACAAAACGUUUUUUUAUAAAACGUACCUACUGCAGCUUUAAAAUGAAUCACAGGCCAUACAAAUGAUGGUGUAAAUGUAAGGUUAAUGUAUGGUGGCCGCAAACGGCAAAACGCUUCAAACACAGGAAUGAUAUAAAUCCAAAAACACACCAACACAUAAUAGUCAGCUGCAAAUAUGGCUUGACCCCCCAAAAAAUUCUAACAAAAGGUUUCUCAGUGGUUUACAGUAGUAUCAGAUGUACUUAAAAACAUACUAAAAGUUUACCUAAGUUUGACUCCAAGAAAGGCCCCAUUUACAAAAUGGCGGCCGUCAGGUAUGGGCUGAUAUUUGUGUCAGUAGAAACUGAAUCUGAAUUGCUCAACUUGAAUAAUUGCAUUAAAAAAACUGAAUUUGAAUUGCUGUGUUGGUCUUAAUGACCAUUCAUUCAUUUUGUGUUUCUUGGUGAGAUUUUCUUUGGUCAUUUACAGUGCGUUAACGCCAUCUAUUGGCCACUUGCAGUAACGGCAGGUUUUGGUGUAUUGUUUCUAUUUCCGAUGGUAUUCUCGUUUUGAACGAGUUUUGUGUUCAGUCUUCCAGACCAAGUUGUGCUCUGUGUUGUGUCAAUUCCUCUUACAAGUUUCAUCAAACCCCGCACAGUCGUGUUUCCUACGGGGGCAAUGCCGAUGAUAAAGAAAAAAAGAAGGAGGUGAGAGAAAGGGCUCUGUUGAAAUACCAGGAAAAGCUUUCUUUAGAGUCCACAUCCAAGGCGGAGAAAGAGCACACAGAGAAAAAAUAUGCAUUGGAGACAAUGAUGAAGGUAAAUCUACAAUCUACUCAUAAAUCAGACUAACAAGUGUCCGGAAUUACAAUUUGAACCUGCUGUGUGAUCUAGAAGGAUUUACAUAUAGGGUGUCUCACUUGACGUCAGCAUGAACAGGAGGAAAGAGACAGGAUCCAGAAAAUUAAGGACACUGAACGAGAGAAAACCACAGCAGAGCUGGCAGCAUGGCGGCUGAGGCAGAAGGAAGAACUAAAAGUCCAGAGUCCGAGAGACAGUCCCAACCAAAUGACAGCGAAGCAGGAACCUGGAUGUUCAGAUGGAGGAAAGGUCAAACUGGGUAAGUCAUCAAAUGUGCUCCUACACUAGUUAGUUUUUAGCAUAUUCCUACAUAGUGUUGGACUUGUUACUCGUUCUUUUCAAAAGUAAUUUCAUUACUUUACUUAUUACUCCCUGCGCCAACAGUAAUUAGUUACACUAUUAAUUAUAUCACUUUUCUGCAAAUACAUUGGUAAUUGUGUCCUUUCUCCCCAAAAUUCAUACUUUGCUCGUUCGCCUUGUGCAGCUAGGCUUCAAACACAACAUUUUAAACAACUUCUGUUAUUUAGAGAUAUAGUCUGUGUUGCAAUUUUUUUGUUUUCUUAAGUUCUGUUGUCUGUGACUGGUGUUUUCCCAAGAAUCCUUCUGGAAAACGGAGAGUCAAACCACCACAUCGUCCUACCACAAGCUUAAUUCAUUCUUUGUCGCUUGCUAUUACAGUUUUGUUUGAUAAAAUCACAGUAAUGGGAAUAUUUCAAGCCGCUGAAUGUUUCCAUCUUCCAAGCCUGUUUCCUGCUUAGUGACAUGCACGAUUACAAAAAUGAAUCCGGGGAAUGUAAUUGGAUUACCGGGGGUUGGGUUAAAGCUGCAGUGGGUAACGUUGAUAGUUGAUUGUAAAAUUUAAUACCCAGGUUGUCUUAUACCAUUUCUUUGGGUUGGAGGCUUGAAGGCAGUUGAUCGUUGAAUCAACUAUCUUCCCAAACCAUCUUUAUAUCUUUCUCAGCUCUGAUUGGUUGUUUUGUUCAGGCCUGGUGGAUUCUUGUAAAUGCCAUUAGGAGCACUAGGAGUAGCCAGAGGAACCUGAUUUUUCCACACAUUAUCUGUCUCAUGUACUACUGUCGGGAUAUAGUGAAAGUUUCAGUGAAUAUGAAAAAAAGUUAUUUUUUAUAAAAGUUACCUACUGCAGCUUUAAUACGGUAAUAUUAUUACUAAAAUGUAUUAGUAAUUAGUUACACUCUAGUUACUGGAGAAAGUAAUAUUUUUACUGUGAUAUUAUUACUAGUAAUGCCUUACCGCCCAACACUGUUCGUUAAAUGAAAUUAAUCAAUUAUCUAAAUUACAAACAUGUCUUAA